CCUACGGGCGGCAGCAGUGGGGGAUAUUGCACAAUGGGGGAAACCCUGAUGCAGCGACGCCGCGUGGGGGAAGACGGUCCUCUGGAUUGUAAACCACUGUCCCCAGGGACGAAGAUGAAGGUACCUGGGGAGGAAGCUCUGGCUAACUACGUGACAGCAGCCGCGGUAAUACGCAGGGAGCGAGCGUUGUUCGGAAUUACUGGGGGUAAAGGGAGCGUAGGCGGGGAUGCAAGUUGGGUGUCAAAACUACCGGCUCAACUGGUAGUCGCACUCAAAACUGCCGCUCUUGAGUGAAGUAGAGGCAGGCGGAAUUCCUAGUGUAGCGGUGAAAUGCGUAGAUAUUAGGAGGAACACCAGUGGCGAAGGCGGCCUGCUGGGCUUUUACUGACGCUGAGGCUCGAAAGUGUGGGGAGCAAACAGGAUUAGAUACCCCUGUAGUC
rnacentral:rRNA from 1 species